GCCGGGUGCCCCAAGAGUUUGAGGUUGCUGUGAGCUGUGAUGCCACGGCACUCUGCCCAGGGCAACAUAGUGAGACUCUGUCUCAAUAAAUUAAAUAAAUAUAAAUAAAAUAAGAGAUUCCUGGCCUCAGAAUACUUAGGUUGAGUCAGGUAUGGCCUGGACAGGCAUUGCUUAGUUGCUAGGGUUAGAAGCCUAUCCCAGAAACUCAAGUAAAAUAGAGGUUAUCUUAAGAAUACUCAAAGGCACUUGCUCUGUGGAACUAACUCUCAGCCUCCUUCUAUUCAUCUGCCCUCUUUCUUCUGCAGGACUCAGUGUCCACACUGCAAAGCUGUGUCGUUUCUGCUGCUAUUUGUGUUGUUUAGAUGCAUCACCAGCCCCUGCGGAAGUACCAACAUGCACCGCAGUGAUGGUUCAAGAAGUUUUGCAAAGGACACAGGUGCCUUGAAGAUGAGGAGCACAGUGGCUGGCCAUCAGGAGGAGACGACAACCGGUGGAGAGCAAACGUGGAAGCUGGUCCUCUGACAGCUCCAUGCAAAACUGCUCAGGGUCGACGUUCUGUGGCUGCUCGGCAUCCGAAGCAAAUUGGAAGGGCGAAAAAGCUCGCAACAAACCAUUUCUUGAUCAGAUUGUGACGUGUUAUGAAAAGUGGAUUUUAUAUGACAACUGGCAGUGACCAGCUCAGUGGUUGGACCGAGAAGAACCUCCAAAACACUUCCCAAACCCAAAUUUGCACAAAAAAAAGGUCAUGGCCACUGGGUCCUGGUCUACUAUGGUCUGAUCCACUACCGCUUUCUCAUUCCUGGUGAAACCAUCACAACUGAGAAGUCUGCUCAGCAAACCAAUGAGGGGCACCAAAAACUGCAAUGCCUGCAGCCGGCAUCAGUGAACAGAGGGGGCCCACGACAGCUCCUGACCACACUUCGUAAGUUGAAUAAAUUGGGCUAUCAAGUGUUGCCUCAUUCACCUGACAUUGUGCCAACCCACUAUCACUUCAAGCAUCUUGACAAUUUUUUGCAGGGAAAAUGCUUCCACAACCAGCAGGAAGCAAAAAUGCUUUCCGAGAGUUUGUUGAAUCCUGAAGUACAGUUUUUCCACUACAGGAAGAAACGAACUUAUUUCUGAUUAACAACAGUGUUUUGAUUUUGAUUCAUAAAGAUGUUUGAGGAUAGUUACAAUGAUUUAAAAUUCAUGGUCCCAAACCUCAAUUACUUUUGCACCAACCUAAUAACUUGCCAAUAAGUGACUUUUAAAGUUCUUUUAAUAUUAGACAAUGCCCCCAGGUACCCAGAACGCCAGGAGUUUAACACUGAAGGAGUCAAAGCGGUCUACUUGCCCCCAAACACAUCUCUAAUUCAGCCUCUAGAUCAGAGUUAUAAGGACCUUCAGGGCUCAUUACACACAGUACUCUGUGGAAAGGGUUUUCAACGCUUAGAAGAGAGCCCCAGUAGAGAACAUCAUGCAAAUCUGGAAGGAUUACUUAUUAAAGAUGCCAUGAUUAUAAGGAAAAAAAAUCCACGAAAGCCUUCAAGCCAAAAUAAUAAAUUUCUACUAGAGAAAAAUGUGUCCAGAUGACUUUACAGGAUUUAUGACAGAAACUGAUCAAGAGAAUCAUGAAAGAGAUUGUGGGUAUAACUCAAAAAAGGGAGUGAAAAGUCUCAAGACAUAGAUCUUGGGGAAAUUCAAGAGCUAACAGACCCCGCAGCAGAGGGCCUUAACAGGUGACGUGACGGAGACAAGCGCUUCAUGGGAGAAGCAGGAACGGGGACCACGUUGAGGCGGACAGUCUGGCAGCAAGGUUCUCUUCGUUCAAGGCUGCUUUCAGCUUCUUUUAUGACAACAUGGACUCUGCACAAUGUGAACACAAGAAAUAAUGGAAGAAAGACUGGUACCUUAGAGAAAUAUUUGUAAAGUAACGUAAAAGAAAAAAGACAAAUUACAAUAUAUUUCCGGAAGGUCCUGCCGACUGCGCCUCUCCCUCCUGGCCCCCUUCCCACUCCUCCCCCUCAUCUGCCUGUGCCCUGACCCCUGGGGCCAGAAGACCAAAGCCUGCUCUUCCUCAGCCCACUGAACAUGGAGACAGCGAGGACAGAGCUUUCUGAUGACCCACUGUCACUUAAUAAACACUAAAUAUAUUUUCCCUUUGAUUUUCUUAACAUUUUUUUCUAGCUUACUUUAUUGUAAGAAUACAGUAUAUAAUACACAUACCGUAUAAAAUAUGUGUUAAUCAGCUGUCUGUUUGAUCAGUAAGGCUUUCAGGCAACAGUAGGCUAUUGGUAGCUAAGUUUGGGGGAAGUUAAAUUAUGUGAAUUUUUGACUGGGGAUCAGUGCUGCUAAUCUCCAACUUGUUCCAGGGACAACUAUAAAUCAGAAUCUUUGGGGAUAAAACCCAGGCCUCAAUAUUUUUAAAGCUCUUUAGUUGAUACCAAUCUUGCUCCUAGUUUGAAAACCCCUGCGUUAUAUUAUUUUAGACCAUUAACAUAUUUUCUUCAAUAUUGUGUGCAUAUAUAGGAAUAUGUUAUGCAAAUAUAAAAUAAAUAUCUAGUUAAACAUAAUUCCUUUCCUAAAUAUAUAGUAAAUAAUUCUUAGGCCCAGGACUCAGAUCAGGCAUGCAAAAUUAUAUUUAUUUUUGGUUUAUUAUAGUUUGAUUUAAUUUCUAUUUCCAGCCUCUAUUCACAAAGAUAGAAGAAAUAUAAUCUUACUCAAUUCAAUUUUAUUUCAAUUCUGGGCUUGCAUAGGAAAUAUUUUUUAAAUCUCUCUUAUGUUACUUAUUAGAAAGAAGAGAUAAAUGUGUUUGGUCAUUAUAUUUAAACCAAGACAUGUCUUAAAUAAAUAAUUGAUUUUAAAGCAAGGUCAUCAACAUUUUGUUUUCCCUUUUAUCUUUCUUUAUGAAGCCCAGAAAUGGGAUGUCAUUAAUUCAGACAUAACAUACAUAUUCUGUCUCUUGUAAGACAUAUUUGUUCGUUUGUCUUGCGUAGACUGUAUCACCUCCCUGGAAAGGAGAAUGGCAUUUACGCAUAGAUAGUGCUCAGUGCUGCAUCUGACACCUAAGACAUUUUUAAAAAUUGAAUUUCUGUAUAUUUUGGUCUAGAUAACAGAACAGAUAUUCACAGCCUAGUCUUGGCUCAAGGUAGACAUAAUCGCAUGCUUUCACAGGCAGCACACACACCCACGUGCACGCACACACUUGUUCUCUCUCGCACACGCCUGCUGAUGUGCACGCAAAUAGGCACAGUCUUUUUCUCAGCUAUCCCACAUUGCUGCCGUGAAUGAAGAUCUUACCGCCCAGGUUGCUUCUCCAUGAUCCAAGAGUUGGCAUGAUGUCACGGCUGCACUAGCUGCUCUCUAAGAAAGGGCAGUGAGAAAGGACCCUGCCCCAGCCCCACGCCCCACCCCUGAUCUCCAGGCAGAUGACGAAAUUAUACUUGGCAGGGCAAGGAACCAAACUGAGCUCUUUGCCUUUCCAUCCAGCAACUCAUGCGGCUUUGGUGUCUAUAACAUGUUUAGAACAGCAAGGAUAAAGCUCCCUGUCAUCUUAGGAAAAUGGAUAGGUGCUGAAUAUAUUUUUAAUUCACGCUGAGGCAUUCUCAGGGGAUUUACCAGUUAAACCCCAAGCAUCGCUGGGCCGGAGCUCCGCUGACCACCUACCUUGGGAGAAUGUUCUGAUAUCACAGAAAAUUUGUGUUAUUGCUGCAUUGUUUCACUCAUACUGCAUCUAAGGGACCUAAAUGAUUUGUUCCCAAAAAAUGUAAUUCCUGAAUUUAAUGAUUCUGUGACUAUCUAGAUUGACUUUUCAGAUCUAUAAAUGUACUUUUUAAAUAACGUUAUAGUCCACUUAAAAGCAUUUUUAAGUUAUGUCCUGGUGAAGUUGGAUAGACCGGCUGGUAGGCCCUCUCUCUGUGUGUUCUUUACACUUGGGGCAAAGAAAUGUAGGCUUUGUGCUACGUUUCCUGCAGGAGAGCAGCUUCUGGCAUGGCUCCCCUCCUGGGGGCCCUCCAAGAACACAGAAUCAGACAGCCUCCAUCAGAUCACACACAUUUCCAUGCUCGCCUUCCCUUCAUUUCCCAAACGAUACGUAUUUGUUCCUAAGGAGAAAUGUUUACAAUUGAAUGGAUUUUAUCGGUAUAUUGUUUACUCUUCCUCUUUAAUACUGAUUGUGUAUAAGUCUCACCAUGUCAGUUGAUAGAUACUAUUUACCAUUGACUACAUUCACGUUGUUUUUGCCUCACUUUGCCUCUGUGGACAAAAUGUAUUUAAUUUCACAUAA